UACAGAGGGUGCGAGCGUUAAUCGGAAUGACUGGGCGUAAAGGGUGUGUAGGUGGUUUGAUAAGUUAGGUGUGAAAGUCCUGGGCUUAACCUGGGGACGGCGCUUAAGACUGUUGAGCUAGAGUACUGUAGAGGAAGGUGGAAUUUCCGGUGUAGCAGUGAAAUGCGUAGAUAUCGGAAGGAACAUCGGUGGCGAAGGCGACUUUCUGGACAGCUACUGACACUGAGACACGAAAGCGUGGGGAGCAAACAGG
rnacentral:rRNA from 1 species